AACUAGAAUAAUUGCAAAGGAGCCUAAUAUAGAGGCGUAACCAUUGCAAAGGAGACUCUGCAUGGAAAAGAUUACUGAGCUUAAAAUAAGGGAGCUGUUCAACCAUUCUAGUUUGGAGUUCUAGGAGUAGAGGGAUAGCCAGAACGGCCACCAUCAGUUGAUUUUUAUGCAAAGCUGGGAAACUGUUUCUAAGAAAAUCCAAUCUAAUUGGGAGCUGGUCCACCAUCUUUCUUUAUUUUGGAUGGGUGCAAGGGAGUUGGUCCACCAUCCGAAUCCAUAGACUGCUUUUUAACUGCUAUAGACUGAAGCAAAAAGGCCACCAUCAGUUGAUUUUGAUGCUAUAGACGAGGCACAUGAUGGGAUACUUUUUAAAGAAAAUCAAAUCCAACUUGAAAAUUCAAUGGUUCUUGCACAAAUUUGAGUUGUUUUUGUCAGUGGACUCUUUUUUUUUUUUUGCAUUGAUUGCCACCACUUGUUCAGAAAUGUAUUUAAUUUCAUCCCUGUGACCAAGGCUUUUUCUAUCAAGAAGAUUAAGAGAAUUGGCAGAAUCUAUUUUACAGUCCCAUGAUGAUUACAUCAUGGGCUUGAAACUAUGGUUUCUUUUGACCCUUUGAAAGUCAAUGUAAUAUUAUUCUUAU